CGUAGGAAGCAAGCGUUAUCCGGAUUUACUGGGCGUAAAGGGCAGGCAGGCGGUUGGUUAAGUCUUACUUGAAAGCUCCCGGCUCAACUGGGAGAGGUGGUAGGAAACUGGCGAACUAGAGGAUGGUAGAGGAGAGUGGAAUUCCCGGUGUAGUGGUGAAAUGCGUAGAUAUCGGGAGGAACACCAGUGGCGAAAGCGGCUCUCUGGGCCAUUACUGACGCUCAACUGCGAAAGCCAGGGGAGAGAACGGGAUUAGAAACCCCGGUAUUCCUGGCCGUAAACGAUGUUAACUCGGCGUCACGGGUGUCAAAGCCUGUGGUGCUCCAGCCAACGCGAUAAGUUAACCGCCUGGGGAGUACGGCCGCAAGGCUA
rnacentral:rRNA from 1 species